GUAGGGUCCGAGCGUUAUCCGGAAUCAUUGGGGCGUAAAGAGCUCGUAGGCGGUUCAGCAAGUCGGCUGUGAAAGUUCGAGGCUCAACCUCGAAAUUGCAGUCGAUACUGCUGUGACUCGAGUCCCGGUAGAGGAGAAUGGAAUUCCCGGUGUAGCGGUGAAAUGCGCAGAUAUCGGGAGGAACACCAGUAGCGAAGGCGGUUCUCUGGGCCGGCACUGACGCUGAGGAGCGAAAGCGUGGGGAGCAAACAGGAUUAGAUACCCUGGUAGUCCACGCCGUAAACGUUGGAUGCUAGGUGUGGCGGUCUACCAACGACUGCCGUGCCGAAGCUAACGCAUUAAGCAUCCCGCCUGGGGAGUACGGCCGCAAAGGCUG
rnacentral:rRNA from 1 species